AUGGGAACUAAUGGAAGAAGAAUGAGGCCUGUUAUGGAACUGAUGGAAUUCCUGUGGGAGCAGGUAACUUCAGGCCUUUCAGAGGUGGGCAGAGCUCGGGAACCGGUUUCUACGGACAGAGGACGCGUUGCUAAGGGACGGAAGGGUGGGGGCGGGGCGAGUAACCCGCGGAGCCAGAGAGGGAGGAAAGGAGAUGAGAGUAGGCUUUUGAUAUUGCAGAAGGAUAGUAAUGAUGACACUGAAGAUGUUUCACUGUUUGAUGUGGAAGAGGAGACGACUAACAGACCAAGAAAAUAGAAAAUCAGACAUCCAGUAGUCAUCGUUUUUCCACUUUUCUUUCGAGUCAGUGCAAUCGUUACCUAUCUUCUCUGUGAGUUGCUCAGCAGCAGCUUUAUUAUCUGUAUGGUGACAAUUAUCUUGUUGUCAUGUUACUUUUUGGCAGUGAAGAAUGUCACAGGUAGACUAAUGAUUGGCCUACCUUGCUGGAAUCACACUGAUGAAGAUGGAAGCCAUUGGGUGUUUGAAUCUAGAAAGGAAUACUUUCAAGAGAAUAAAACUGUGUCCGAGGCUGAAUCAAGAAUCUUUUGGUUGGGACUUACUGCCUGUCCAGUGCUGUGGGUGAUAUUUGCCUUUAGUGCCCUCUUCUUCAGAGUAAAGUGGUUAGUGGUGGUUAUCAUGGGUGUGGUGCUACAAGGUGCCAACCUGUAUGGUUAUAUCAGAUGUAAGGUAGGCAGCAGAAAGAAUUUGACCAGCAUGGCUACUUCAUAUCUUGGAAAGCAGUUUUUAAGACAAAACACUGGAGGUGGUCAGACUUCCUGAAUAGAGAAAGCUUACGUGCUUUGUUACAUUGGGGAACAACUGAAGAGAUUCUUGACUCUGAACCUUUUAGAGCUUGGUCCAUGUUGCCACAAGGAGUGUUGGCUUUGUUUUUCCACUUAAAAACUUUAUUUAUAAAAAGGGAAUGUAGUUUUCAUAUUAGGUUUUUAUUUCCUUUCCAGCAGUUGGGGCUAGGAAGUAUAUGUUGGCACUAGAAACAUUGUCAAGAUUUGUUCAGUGGCGUGGGUAUGCACAUGUUCCGUAGGUAUGCACAACACAGCCAUGUAAUAUCAAUAUAUACCAAGUUAAUGAAAGUGUUCAUUUACAUAGCUAAUGGAGACCUUUGCAUUUUGAUCCAAAGAACGUAGGAGGAUGUUCUUAGUCUGUCUCAAAGCUCUGUGUGUUUACAUAUUAUUUCUGUAGAUUAUUUUCUGAAGUAAGUUUUGCUUCCAUGGUAAGAGUGAGCACUUUGGCUUAUGUAUAAGUUGGAAAUAAUUGUUAGUUUUUAAUAUGUACCUCAUGGGGAAAUUUCUUAGACAUAUGCAAGCAAAUGAAAAUAA